rnacentral:rRNA from 1 species
AGUGAACGCUGGCGGUAGGCCUAACACAUGCAAGUCGAACGGCAGCACAGUAAGAGCUUGCUCUUACGGGUGGCGAGUGGCGGACGGGUAAGGAAUACAUCGGAAUCUACUUUUUCGUGGGGGAUAACGUAGGGAAACUUACGCUAAUACCGCAUACGACCUACGGGUGAAAGCAGGGGAUCUUCGGACCUUGCGCGAUUGAAUGAGCCGAUGUCGGAUUAGCUAGUUGGCGGGGUAUAGGCCCACCAAGGCGACGAUCCGUAGCUGGUCUGAGAGGAUGAUCAGCCACACUGGAACUGAGACACGGUCCAGACUCCUACGGGAGGCAGCAGUGGGGAAUAUUGGACAAUGGGCGCAAGCCUGAUCCAGCUAUACCGCGUGGGUGAAGAAGGCCUUCGGGUUGUAAAGCCCUUUUGUUGGGAAAGAAAAGCAGCAGGUUAAUACCCCGCUGUUCUGACGGUACCCAAAGAAUAAGCACCGGCUAACUUCGUG